CUUAAAUAUUGUAGAAAUACUGAAACUACAUUCUGAAAUUUAGUACAACCAGAGAGCAAAUAAAUGUGCGGGUCUUUUGAGGGUGCAUGGCACAAUGGAUCAGUUCGGAACUGCUGGCUAAGAAUUAUGAUGAGGCAUACAUUCACACAUUAAAAGAGGGAAUGAAAUCAGGAUAAAUAAAUAAACUAUGUUGCACUUUUUCCAUAUGCAGUCAGUAACAGCAAAAUUAACCAAUUUUGUUUGUUGUUUCUACAUAACACUUUACUGGAGAAGCAGUGCGCUAAGGAUAUCUGCAAGAUGACAGGAAUAUGUCUGGUCUAAAUGCAUAUUCUAAUGCUACACAACAUUAUCAUGCUAUCCAGUCUGCUACUCAGCUUCACUAUCUCUUCUGACAUUUUUGGAGAUUUCAAGACAUCAUUAUUCAAAUAAUAGAAGCAUUAAUUUAGGUCUAUAUCAUGUUUCCCACUGAUCCACUAAUAACAAUCUGUCAAUGGCAGAUUGCCACAUCAGCCUUUUUUUUUUUUUUUGCAGGACAGAUUAUCAAUGUGGCCGAUGCUCCAGUAUUCUACCAUUACCUCUGACAUGGUUUUUUCUCAAUAAGAAACUGAUGCCAGUUCAGCUAACUGAUCCAAGUUGACAAAAACCGGCUUCAUCGGUAUCCUCUUUGAGACUCAGGGCUGACAAUACCAUUCAUCCACAGGAAGCUUUUUUACUCUAGGAACGCAACAGGACGGAUGAUAUGCUUCUUCACAGUGGUCACAAAUUAACAUCUUCAAUGGAUCAUCAAACAGCCUGCAUGUUUUGCAUUUUUGAGAAAGAUUGGUACUGCCAUCACAGAGACUUUCUGAAGCAGCAUAGUUGCUGCUAGCACAUGAUUUCCCUAGAAGUCCAUGAGUUUUAAGCACAUAGAUGCAGAGUUCCCUUGCUGAUGCAAAUUCACCCACCAGUUCCAUGACAUUAGAUGAGGAACACUCACCAGUAUCCUCUAUAUCUAUUUUGAGGAAAGUUGAAAUUUGGAAAUCUUCCCAUCAGAUGCUUUGGAUGGUACUUCAAAUUUCCCAACAGAACAUAUACCACAGAGCCCUGAACUUGGAACCGACUCAACAUCUGCGGUAACAAUGUCAACAGUCUCUCUCUCAAAAUCAGCUUUCCGAAUUCCCAAAAGACAAACUGUUCACUCUGAUGCCUCAAACUCGAGCACAUGCCACUGACAGUUGAUACAUCCGUCCAGCUUCUUGAUGAAACUACAAUCUCAUUUGGUGAUGGUUCAUAUUUUUCCUUCUCAGUAUAAAUGGAAUUUCUGAAGCUAUUCCAAUGGCAUUCUUCAUGUUUUGGAGACAUUUGAUCUCCUUCAACACUCUGUGACCACCCCAAGAUUUUAAUAUUGAUGUAUUUUCAUUGGAUGCAUUAAAAUAAUAGGCAAUGGUCAUAUAACUAGGAUGAGGAUCAA